CGCCCGCUCGCUCGAGCUCGGCGCGGACCCGCCCGGGAGCGCUCCUCGCAGCAGCUGCCCGGGUUCCCACCGCCCUACCGGGCGCGAGCGAUCAGACUACCUCGGAGGGCGCGCUCAGACACCCAGAUGUCCGGCCACCUCAGUGGGUACCCUCGGCACCCUGUGAUCCGACCACCCGCGGAGGCGCGCUAGCCCUCUGGGUGGGCGUGCUGGGCUUCUCUGCGGCGGAAGUCUGGACCACAGAUUGUGACUUCUUUUCUAGCAGUAGGUGUUGACUGGUCCGACUGCUGCCCUUCUGCCCAAGAGUAGUUCAAACUGGCCUCUAACUGAACCUGGAACUCACUGACUGAACUCGAGUUGCUGUUGAGAAAGCCCCAGGGACUGUUUGGUCUUCUCCCGCUCAAAAUUUGCGAUGCAGUGCCUCCUCAGGCCCAUCAAAGUCUUCCAGGAUCACGCAGAGGACCAUGCCACAGUCGGAAGUGAGGUAAACAAGUCUCCUCAUUGCUAUAUUUUGUAAUUAUCAGACAAGAGAGUGGAGUUCCCGCCUGAAGCCCCUCAGGCCUGUGUGAAGCUUAACCAUGUAUGUACUCAAUGUAGGUGUGAUCAGUUUUCAGAUCCAUGCAAAUGUGAGCUGACUUUCCCCUGAUGUUUGCUGAGUGCAUGCCAACAGCAUUCUGCAUGGCUAACCUGCCUCAGCAACCAAAUCCCUGGAACUGUCAUAUGCAGAGGGUCUGUGGUGUGGCCAUUUUAUAAAUGAGCCACGGGAAGGCCAGAGAAAGAAACAGCAUGCUCCAAGUCAGAGCAGAAGGCAGCUUCCCUAGGAUCUGUUUAAUGUUUGCUUCUUUACAACACAGGAUCUCGUGAAACCCAAGCUAGCCUCAGACUCAACUGCAUAGCUGAGGAUACCCUUGAACUUGAUUCUCUAAUAUUUCUACCUCAUACCCAGUUCAUGAGGUAAUGCGGAUAGAACCCAGGGCUUCCUGAAUACUAGGAAGGCACUCUACCAACUGAGCUACAUCCCCAGAUCCUCCUCUGGGGAUAAGCCCAGGUUCAAAUCCAAGGCCUUAACAACAUCGGGACACGGACAUAAGACACAGCACUCUACUGGACCUGGGCAUGCUCCUACCCUGUCUAGUGAUCGCAAAAGCCAUCUUUUUAACAGCCCGCGUUAUGAUUCUACCAUCAGACCAGAGAGGCCCUAGAUAGCCCAGCUUCCCAUUGUAAGUCAUCUUCGACAUGUUUAACCGAUGGCUGUGUGGGACUGCUAGAAAGUUUGGAAAUCACCAAGCGCUUUGACUUUCCUGCCCACAAAAACAGUUGGCCUUGGCAGAUGUCCAACGCGUUGACCUUAGAUCCAUUUAAUGAAAACCCUAUUAAUUCAAAAAGAAAGAAAGAAAAUAAGGCAAAAUAGGACAGGCAGUAGAAAGAUCUUUACAAAAAUCUUGUGUGCCCUUCCUCCACUGUUGCCUUGACCAGACAGGGCCACAAAGCUGAUACGACAGGAUUAGGACAAUUGCUUUGUUAACACACAAGCACAGCGUGACAUGAACUCCAGGAAAGGCAUUUGGCAGGAUUAACCUGCUGAGGAUAAAGAUGUAGCAGACGGGACCUGAAUUAAUGGACUGGUAUGGCCAAAGUGGAGAAAUCUAUUUGCAUGUAAUAUUAACUGUACUAAUAAACUCCAGGCGGGGAUCCAACAGCCCGGGAGCCUCUUUGAACCAGGACUUGAUCCCUGUACAUCCUAUCUCUGCUAAGAUGUGUGAGUGUAAGCCGGCUGCCUGCAGAUUACCACUCUGUCCUUGGUGCCUGCAAUAGCACAAGCCCUUUACUGACUGCAACUCAAGCAGAUCCCACUUACAAUAUUAUUUACAACCUAUGGAAAAGCAAUGAAGAAAUGCAGGUUCAACACAUGUAGAAAAUAUCCACCAGGGCCUGGAGAGAUGGCUCAGUAAUUAAGAGCCCUGGCUAUUCCUCCAGAGGACCCGGGUUCAAUUUGUAGCAUCCAUGGGGCAGCUAAGAGUCAUCUAAAGCCCAUCUGAAGCCCUCUUCUGACAUCUGCAGGCAUGGUGCAUACAUGGUACAUACACACACAUGC
ensembl:lincRNA 9530059O14Rik RIKEN cDNA 9530059O14 gene